GCCGCUCCGUCCUCCCGACCUGCCACUGAGUCUCUGCACACUUAGCUCCCACCUUCCGUCUCCUGUUCUGUGAUUUUCAAGAUCCGAUGUCUCUAGUUCUUUUCAAGGUGGAGCUUGGGGUAUUUUCUUUUUAUUAUGUUGGGCAAGUUUCUGAAAAGAAAAGGCAGAAACGUGUUUGUUCUGCCAGACAAAGGCUGGCGGGGUCUGCUCCACUGUCACGAUGACGUCAGAGGAGCACAUGGGGUCAGGAGGCACGACCGUGGCCCUGCACGCCUGGCCCCGGCUCAGCUCCUGCAUGUGCACUCCCACACGAAUUUCUUCUGGUCUCACGAUGGAAAUCUGUUUUUAACUUGUUAUGCUUAAUUUCUGUUUGCUUGUUCAGAAGGUGCCUUUCCGAAUGGAAAUCAUUUCUGGAAACCCUUAAGCCUGUGCCUGCUCUUUCUGAACUCCACUUGCUCCAGUCACAGAGUCACCAGGCCAGAGCUGACCGUGUCUGGGAGAAGGGGGGUCAGGGGCUGUGGACGUGUUCUUCACUGGUUCCCAUGGCGAGUCAAGCCCUGACACCUGGCGUGGAGCAGGGCCGCGCAGCACCGGCCGGGACACAUGGUGGGCAGGUGGGCCAAGCUCCGCUUGGCUCAGAGACCCCGGUGUCGCACUCCCGUGGCUUAAAGUUGGCCGUGGAACUGCUUCCUUUGGCUUGUCCCCUCCUCCUCCAGGGAGGCCCUCUGGGAGCAUCCCGCCGUGGACGGUGUGACAGCCCUUCUCCAUCGGAGCAGACAUGGACGUGGUGUGCACAGCGGGCAGAAGGGGUGCCGAGGAGGGAGCCGGAGCACGAGGAGGCACUGACCUCCAUCCCAAGUACAAGUCCGAGCUUCCCCAGGCUGUCUGUCUGAGACAGGGCCCUGCCCUGCGGGGCCACCAACGGGUUGGGACAAACGUAACUGUGACCCCAGAAGUGGACGAGGGAGGAGGUCUCCCGGGUGGGGAGAGGCAUGGGCAGGUGUGGCUGCAGAGCUGGCUUGAACCACCCUCUGUCCAGGUCUGCCACCACCCUCCCUGCGGGUGCCCCAGGCCCCGCGGCGGUCCACACAGUGCUCGCUAACCGUGCGCUCCACAUUGUCUCAGUAGAGAGGGACGCGCCGACCAGACCCUGGCCAUCUCCAGGGCCUAGGGGCUUACCUGCGUGGGGACACACCUGGCAUCCUGUGGCCCAGCCCAGCCGUUAAAGCUCUGAUGACCGGAGCGGCACACGCAGAAGGAAUAUUAGGUCACACCGUGACGUUGAUCACAUCCAGGCUUCAUUAAAUGUGACAUUUACUGAAUAGUAAAGUAUCGCAAAGUGGACACCGUGAUUGUGGAGAAAAUUCUGGAAGUGUACAUGUGGAGGUGGAAGUCUCCUGCCUCGACAAGACUCACCGUGCUUGUGCUCCCAGGGCUGUGCAACCAUCGCCACUGUCUCUUUCAGAACAUUUUCAUCCCACCGGAAAGAAGCCUGCACCCUUCACCCUGCCCCCGGCAGCCUUCAGUCUGCUUUCUGUCUCGAUGGAUUUGCCAGCUCUAAACACUUUAUAUAAAUGGAAUCAUGUGUACGUGGUCUUUUGCGACUGGUCUCCACAUAGUGCUUUCAAGGUCUAUCCAUGUCGUGGGAUGAAUCAGUACUUCCUUCUUUUACGGCCAAGUAAUAUUCCCUUUUGUUUAUCCAUUAGUCAUUUGACACCUGUAUUUUUGGGGGGUAUUUUGAAGAAGGCUGGCAUUCAUAUUUAUGUACAAGGGGUUUUUUUGUGGAUAUAAGUUUUCAAUUCUUUGGGUAUAUACCUAGAAGUACGAUUGCUGGCUUAUGUGAACACUCACUGUGUAACUUUUUGAGCUAAUUGGCUAUUUCUGUAUUUUCUUUGGGGAAAUAACUAUUUAGAUCCUUUGCUUACUUUUUAAUGAACUGUCUUUUCAGUGUUAAGUUGUAAGAGUUCUUUAUAUAAUCAAGCCUUCAUCAGACACACAAUUGGUGAACAUUUCCCCCCAUUCACCUGGGAGAACGGUUGUCUAAUGGUUGUAUUUUAUCUUCCUUGGUGUUGUCUUUCAAAGCACCAAUGUUUUUAAUUUUGAAGAAGUCUAAUUUACCUGUUUUUAGUUUGGUUACUUGUACUUUUGGUGUCAGAUCUAAGAAACCAUUGGUCACUACAAGGCCAUCCAGAUUUAUGCCCGUGUUUCCUUCUGAGAGCUGUACAGUUUUAGCUCCUACUGUUAGGUCUUUGCACCAUUUUGAGUUAACCUUUGGUGUGAGGUAAGGGACCAGCUUCAUUCUUCUGUAGUUGUCAUAGCACUGCUUGUUGGAAAGACCAUUCUUCCCCUAUUGAAUUGUCUUGGCUCCCCUGUUGCCAUUCAAUGGAUCAUACCUGUAAGGGUUUAUUUCUCAGCUCUCAAUUCUAGUCCAUUGAUCUGUAUGUCUAUUCCUGUGCCAUUUCCACUUAACAAUAUAUAUUGAAGAUGUUAAUAUAUCAGGACAUAAAAAGCUCCUUCAUUCUUUUCUGUUGCUAUUGAGCAUGACUCGAACUUUACUGAAUGUAUGUAAUUUUAACUUGACCCAUUUCUCAUUGAUAAUAUAUUGUUUACAAUCUUAUGGCUAGAAUGAUUACACACACACCUUUCUAACUGUGUAGAUAUGCCCAUAUAUCUGUAAGAUAAAAUUGUCAUAAGUAAAAUCAC